rnacentral:rRNA from 1 species
UACAGGAGGGGCAAGCGUUGUUCGGAAUUACUGGGCGUAAAGGGCGCGUAGGCGGCCUGCUAAGUCGAACGUGAAAUCCCCGGGCUCAACCCGGGAACUGCGUCCGAUACUGGCAGGCUUGAAUCCGGGAGAGGGAUGCGGAAUUCCAGGUGUAGCGGUGAAAUGCGUAGAUAUCUGGAGGAACACCGGUGGCGAAGGCGGCAUCCUGGACCGGCAUUGACGCUGAGGCGCGAAAGCCAGGGGAGCAAACGGG